rnacentral:rRNA from 1 species
GAUGAACGCUGGCGGCGUGCCUAAUACAUGCAAGUCGAGCGAACAGACGAGGAGCUUGCUCCUCUGACGUUAGCGGCGGACGGGUGAGUAACACGUGGAUAACCUACCUAUAAGACUGGGAUAACUUCGGGAAACCGGAGCUAAUACCGGAUAAUAUAUUGAACCGCAUGGUUCAAUAGUGAAAGACGGUUUUGCUGUCACUUAUAGAUGGAUCCGCGCCGCAUUAGCUAGUUGGUAAGGUAACGGCUUACCAAGGCAACGAUGCGUAGCCGACCUGAGAGGGUGAUCGGCCACACUGGAACUGAGACACGGUCCAGACUCCUACGGGAGGCAGCAGUAGGGAAUCUUCCGCAAUGGGCGAAAGCUUGACGGAGCCACGCCGCGUGGGUGAUGAAGGUCUUCGGAUCGUAAAGCUCUGUUAUUAGGGAAGAAAAAAUGUGUAAGAAACUCUGCACGUUUUGACGGUACCUAAUCAGAAAGCAACGGCUAACUCCGUG